UACGUAGGGGGCAAGCGUUGUCCGGAAUUAUUGGGCGUAAAGAGCGUGUAGGCGGCCCGGUAAGUCCGCUGUAAAAGUCAAAGGCUCAACCUUUGAAUGUCAGUGGAUACUGUCGGGCUAGAGUCCGGAAGAGGCGAGUGGAACUCCUGGUGUAGCGGUGGAAUGCGCAGAUAUCAGGAAGAACACCAACGGCGAAGGCAGCUCGCUGGGACGGUACUGACGCUGAGACGCGAAAGCGUGGGGAGCGAACAGG
rnacentral:rRNA from 1 species